rnacentral:rRNA from 1 species
AUGGAGAAGGGCCCAAUGGCGGGCCGGCGGAGGCCGUAGCGGGAGGUGUCCCCGAACACGACGCUGCACAUGAGCAGCACGAUCCUGUCAAUCAGCCACAGCGGCAGGUACCUGUAUAGCGUCAUCGCCACGUUCCAGAUCUCCUUGGUCACAAGGUGGAGCUGCAUGCAAAACAGAUAA